AUUGAACGCUGGCGGCAGGCCUAACACAUGCAAGUCGAACGAGUGGCGGACGGGUGAGUAAUGUCUGGGAAACUGGCUGAUGGAGGGGGAUAACUACGGGAAACGGUAGCUAAUACCGCGUACCAUACGAUGGGCCCAGAUUGGAUUAGGUAGUAGGUGGGGUAAAGGCUCACCAAGGCGACGAUCCCUAGCUGGUCUGAGAGGAUGACCAGCCACACUGGGACUGAGACACGGUCCAGACUCCUACGGGAGGCAGCAGUGGGGAAUAUUGCGCAAUGGGCGCAAGCCUGACGCAGCCAUGCCGCGUGUAUGAAGAAGGCCUUCGGGUUGUAAAGCGCUUUCGGUGGAGAGGCGUUAACUACAGAGGAAGCACCGGCUAACUCCGUGCCAGCAGCCGCGGUAAUAC
rnacentral:rRNA from 1 species